GAUCCUGGCUCAGGAUGAACGCUAGCGACAGGCUUAACACAUGCAAGUCGAGGGGCAGCGGGGGAUAAGCUUGCUUUUCCUGCCGGCGACCGGCGCACGGGUGAGUAACGCGUAUCCAACCUGCCCAUCACUUGGGAAUAACCUUGCGAAAGUAAGACUAGUGCCCAAUGACAUUUAUAGAAGGCAUCUGAAAUGAAUUAAAGAUUUAUCGGUGAUGGAUGGGGAUGCGU
rnacentral:rRNA from 1 species